CCGAGUCUUAAUUGGGCGUUAAGUUGCAGGGUAUAGACCCGAAACCCGGUGAUCUAGCCAUGGGCAGGUUGAAGGUUGGGUAACACUAACUGGAGGACCGAACCGACUAAUGUUGAAAAAUUAGCGGAUGACCUGUGGCUGGGGGUGAAAGGCCAAUCAAACCGGGAGAUAGCUGGUUCUCCCCGAAAGCUAUUUAGGUAGCGCCUCGUGAAUUCAUCUCCGGGGGUAGAGCACUGUUUCGGCUAGGGGGCCAUCCCGGCUUACCAACCCGAUGCAAACUGCGAAUACCGGAGAAUGUUAUCACGGGAGACACACGGCGGGUGCUAACGUCCGUCGUGAAGAGGGAAACAACCCAGACCGCCAGCUAAGGUCCCAAAGUCAUGGUUAAGUGGGAAACGAUGUGGGAAGGCCCAGACAGCCAGGAUGUUGGCUUAGAAGCAGCCAUCAUUUAAAGAAAGCGUAAUAGCUCACUGGUCGAGUCGGCCUGCGCGGAAGAUGUAACGGGGCUAAACCAUGCACCGAAGCUGCGGCAGCGACACUGUGUGUUGUUGGGUAGGGGAGCGUUCUGUAAGCCUGCGAAGGUGGCCUGUGAGGGUUGCUGGAGGUAUCAGAAGUGCGAAUGCUGACAUAAGUAACGAUAAAGCGGGUGAAAAGCCCGCUCGCCGGAAGACCAAGGGUUCCUGUCCAACGUUAAUCGGGGCAGGGUGAGUCGACCCCUAAGGCGAGGCCGAAAGGCGUAGUCGAUGGGAAACGGGUUAAUAUUCCCGUACUUGGUGUUACUGCGAAGGGGGGACGGAGAAGGCUAUGUUGGCCGGGCGACGGUUGUCCCGGUUUAAGCGUGUAGGUGUGUGUUCCAGGUAAAUCCGGUUCACUUUAACACUGAGGCGUGACGACGAGGCACUACGGUGCUGAAGCAACAAAUGCCCUGCUUCCAGGAAAAGCCUCUAAGCAUCAGGUAACAUCAAAUCGUACCCCAAACCGACACAGGUGGUCAGGUAGAGAAUACCAAGGCGCUUGAGAGAACUCGGGUGAAGGAACUAGGCAAAAUGGUGCCGUAACUUCGGGAGAAGGCACGCUGACACGUAGGUGAAGUGAUUUACUCAUGGAGCUGAAGUCAGUCGAAGAUACCAGCUGGCUGCAACUGUUUAUUAAAAACACAGCACUGUGCAAACACGAAAGUGGACGUAUACGGUGUGACGCCUGCCCGGUGCCGGAAGGUUAAUUGAUGGGGUCAGCGCAAGCGAAGCUCCUGAUCGAAGCCCCGGUAAACGGCGGCCGUAACUAUAACGGUCCUAAGGUAGCGAAAUUCCUUGUCGGGUAAGUUCCGACCUGCACGAAUGGCGUAAUGAUGGCCAGGCUGUCUCCACCCGAGACUCAGUGAAAUUGAACUCGCUGUGAAGAUGCAGUGUACCCGCGGCAAGACGGAAAGACCCCGUGAACCUUUACUAUAGCUUGACACUGAACAUUGAGCCUUGAUGUGUAGGAUAGGUGGGAGGCUUUGAAGUGUGGACGCCAGUCUGCAUGGAGCCGACCUUGAAAUACCACCCUUUAAUGUUUGAUGUUCUAACGUGGACCCGUUACCCGGGUUGCGGACAGUGUCUGGUGGGUAGUUUGACUGGGGCGGUCUCCUCCUAAAGAGUAACGGAGGAGCACGAAGGUUGGCUAAUCCUGGUCGGACAUCAGGAGGUUAGUGCAAUGGCAUAAGCCAGCUUGACUGCGAGCGUGACGGCGCGAGCAGGUGCGAAAGCAGGUCAUAGUGAUCCGGUGGUUCUGAAUGGAAGGGCCAUCGCUCAACGGAUAAAAGGUACUCCGGGGAUAACAGGCUGAUACCGCCCAAGAGUUCAUAUCGACGGCGGUGUUUGGCACCUCGAUGUCGGCUCAUCACAUCCUGGGGCUGAAGUAGGUCCCAAGGGUAUGGCUGUUCGCCAUUUAAAGUGGUACGCGAGCUGGGUUUAGAACGUCGUGAGACAGUUCGGUCCCUAUCUGCCGUGGGCGCUGGAGAACUGAGGGGGGCUGCUCCUAGUACGAGAGGACCGGAGUGGACGCAUCACUGGUGUUCGGGUUGUCAUGCCAAUGGCACUGCCCGGUAGCUAAAUGCGGAAGAGAUAAGUGCUGAAAGCAUCUAAGCACGAAACUUGCCCCGAGAUGAGUUCUCCCUGAGACUUAAAGUCUCCUGAAGGAACGUUGAAGACGACGACGUUGAUAGGCCGGGUGUGUAAGCGCAGCGAUGCGUUGAGCUAACCGGUACUAAUGAACCGUGAGGCUUAACCUUACAACGCCGAAG
rnacentral:rRNA from 1 species